rnacentral:rRNA from 1 species
GAUGAACGCUAGCGGGAGGCUUAAUACAUGCAAGUCGAGCGGUAAGGUUUUCGGACCCUAGAGCGGCGAACGGGUGAGUAACGCGUACGAAACCUGCCUUUAAGAGAGGGAUAGCCCUGGGAAACUGGGAGUAAUACCUCAUAGUAUUCAUUAACCGCAUGGUUUAUGGAUUAAAGCUACGGCGCUUAAAGAUGGUCGUGCGUCUGAUUAGCUAGUUGGUAGGGUAACGGCCUACCAAGGCUACGAUCAGUAGGGGGCGUGAGAGCGUGGCCCCCCACACGGGUACUGAGACACGGACCCGACUCCUACGGGAGGCAGCAGUGAGGAAUAUUGGUCAAUGGGCGAGAGCCUGAACCAGCCAUCCCGCGUGCAGGAUGACGGCCCUAUGGGUUGUAAACUGCUUUUCUGCUCCAAGAAACCUGAUUACGUGUAAUCAGUUGACGGUAGAGUAGGAAUAAGCAUCGGCUAACUCCGUG